CUUGUAACCAUAAGAGGUCCAGCCUGCCCAGUGAUUUUAUUUAACGGCCGCGGUAUUCUAACCGUGCGAAGGUAGCGCAAUCACUUGUUUUCUAAAUAAAGACCAGUAUGAAAGGCAUCACGAGAACUUAACUGUCUCCUUUCUCCAAUCAGUGAACCUAAUCUCCCCGUGAAGAAGCGGGGAUCCCCCUAUAAGACGAGAAGACCCUGUGGAGCUUAAAAUGUGAUAUCAACUACUGCCCCAAUUAUCCCCCCACCUCCCCAGCGGCACCCUGAUCACAUAUUUUUGGUUGGGGUGACCGCGGAGAAAAACUUACCCUCCGUGAUGAAAAAGAAUUCCCUUAAACAACAAGUCACAACUUUAUGUAUCAAAAAAUUGACAUUCAUUGACCCAAUAAAUUGAUUAACGAAC
rnacentral:rRNA from 1 species